AGGAAUAUUGGUCAAUGGACGAGAGUCUGAACCAGCCAAGUAGCGUGAAGGAUGACUGCCCUAUGGGUUGUAAACUUCUUUUAUACGGGAAUAAAGUGAGGCACGUGUGCCUUUUUGUAUGUACCGUAUGAAUAAGGAUCGGCUAACUCCGUGCCAGCAGCCGCGGUAAUACGGAGGAUCCGAGCGUUAUCCGGAUUUAUUGGGUUUAAAGGGAGCGUAGGCGGACGCUUAAGUCAGUUGUGAAAGUUUGCGGCUCAACCGUAAAAUUGCAGUUGAUACUGGGUGUCUUGAGUACAGUAGAGGCAGGCGGAAUUCGUGGUGUAGCGGUGAAAUGCUUAGAUAUCACGAAGAACUCCGAUUGCGAAGGCAGCCUGCUGGACUGUAACUGACGCUGAUGCUCGAAAGUGUGGGUAUCAAACAGGAUUAGAUACCCUGGUAGUCCACACAGUAAACGAUGAAUACUCGCUGUUUGCGAUAUACAGUAAGCGGCCAAGCGAAAGCGUUAAGUAUUCCACCUGGGGAGUACGCCGGCAACGGUGAAACUCAAAGGAAUUGACGGGGGCCCGCACAAGCGGAGGAACAUGUGGUUUAAUUCGAUGAUACGCGAGGAACCUUACCCGGGCUUGAAUUGCAACUGAAUGAUGUGGAGACAUGUCAGCCGCAAGGCAGUUGUGAAGGUGCUGCAUGGUUGUCGUCAGCUCGUGCCGUGAGGUGUCGGCUUAAGUGCCAUAACGAGCGCAACCCUUAUCGAUAGUUACCAUCAGGUGAUGCUGGGGACUCUGUCGAGACUGCCGUCGUAAGAUGUGAGGAAGGUGGGGAUGACGUCAAAUCAGCACGGCCCUUACGUCCGGGGCUACACACGUGUUACAAUGGGGGGUACAGAAGGCAGCUACACGGCGACGUGAUGCCAAUCCCGAAAGCCUCUCUCAGUUCGGAUUGGAGUCUGCAACCCGACUCCAUGAAGCUGGAUUCGCUAGUAAUCGCGCAUCAGCCACGGCGCGGUGAAUACGUUCCCG
rnacentral:rRNA from 1 species